GAUGAACGCUGGCGGCGUGCCUAAUACAUGCAAGUCGAGCGAACAGACGAGGAUCUUGCUCCUCUGACGUUAGCGGCGGACGGGUGAGUAACACGUGUAUAACCUACCUAUAAGACUGGGAUAACUUCGGGAAACCGGAUCUCAUACCGGAUAAUAUAUUGAACCGCAUGGUUCAAUAGUGAAAGACGGUUUUGCUGUCACUUAUAGAUGGAUCCGCGCCGCAUUAGCUAGUUGGUAAGGUAACGGCUUACCAAGGCAACGAUGCGUAGCCGACCUGAGAGGGUGAUCGGCCACACUGGAACUGAGACACGGUCCAGACUCCUACGGGAGGCAGCAGUAGGGAAUCUUCCGCAAUGGGCGAAAGCCUGACGGAGCAACGCCGCGUGAGUGAUGAAGGUCUUCGGAUCGUAAAACUCUGUUAUUAGGGAAGAACAAAUGUGUAAGUAACUAUGCACGUCUUGACGGUACCUAAUCAGAAAGCAACGGCUAACUACGUG
rnacentral:rRNA from 1 species